CAUGACGGCCAUAGCGGAGGGGCUACAUCCGAUCCCGUCCCGAUCUCGGAAAUUAAGCCCUCCAGCGAUGCCCCAAGUACUGCCUUUGGGU
rnacentral:rRNA from 1 species